rnacentral:piRNA from 1 species
UGUCACUCAGGAGUAAAUGGGCCUAUUGC